rnacentral:rRNA from 1 species
UGCCCAUAAGAGGGGGGAUAACAUCCGGAAAGGGUGCUAAUACCGCAUAGUUUUCUUGAUCGCAUGAUUGAGAAAGGAAGACGGCCUUUUGUGCUGUCGCUUAUGGAUGGACCCGCGGCGUAUUAGUUAGUUGGUGAGGUAACGGCUCACCAAGACGAUGAUACGUAGCCGACCUGAGAGGGUGAUCGGCCACAUUGGGACUGAGACACGGCCCAAACUCCUACGGGAGGCAGCAGUAGGGAAUCUUCCGCAAUGGACGAAAGUCUGACGGAGCAACGCCGCGUGAGUGAAGAAAAGGGUUUUUCGGAUCGUAAAACUCUGUUGUCAGAGAAGAACAAGUUGGAGAGUAACUGCUCCAGCCUUGACGGUAUCUGACCAGAAAGCCACGGCUAACUACGUGCCAGCCGCUGC